AUUGAACGCUGGCGGCAUGCCUUACACAUGCAAGUCGAACGGCAGCACGGGAGCAAUCCUGGUGGCGAGUGGCGAACGGGUGAGUAAUGUAUCGGAACGUACCUUCCAGUGGGGGAUAACGUAGCGAAAGUUACGCUAAUACCGCAUAUUCUGUGAGCAGGAAAGCAGGGGAUCGCAAGACCUUGCGCUGAUUGAGCGGCCGAUAUCAGAUUAGCUAGUUGGUGAGGUAAAGGCUCACCAAGGCGACGAUCUGUAGCGGGUCUGAGAGGAUGAUCCGCCACACUGGAACUGAGACACGGUCCAGACUCCUACGGGAGGCAGCAGUGGGGAAUUUUGGACAAUGGGCGCAAGCCUGAUCCAGCCAUGCCGCGUGAGUGAAGAAGGCC
rnacentral:rRNA from 1 species